GUUAUUCUGUCGAGAACGUGAUACGAUAAGCUUGGAAGAAACUCUCAAAGAUGUAUAUCCAACAGACAAUUUCCGUGUCAAUGGAGCAUAUGCCAGAGUUUGCGGAGGCGUUCAAUUGUCCGGUUAUAUCACCUAUGAAUCCGGAGAAGAAGUGUAAAAUGUUCUGAAACUUUGAGUGCUUUUGUUUUUGUGGAUUAUAAAAAAUUGAAAAAAAAUUGUGUAGUUUUUUUAAAUGAACAAUAAAAACUGCGCGGUUCUGUAAGGUUCAUCCGGCGACGACAAAAAAUCUAAUCUGCUUUUCCAACUAACAUCUUAUUCAGAAAUCCGGAGUUCAAACAGUCCCCGUGUGAGAAAAUAAAAUAUAUUUUGCGUGAAGAUGAACUUACAGUGACAAAAAUGUGCAACGUAAUGAUAAAAAUUAAAGUUCAAAUCAGUUCCAACUUUUCUUCACUUUGGUUUCAAGUGCUCUUUCCGAAAAGUGCUUUGUCAAUUUGGUUGGACAUAUUCUUUAAAAGAUGAAUGUUGAGAAAAUGAGAGAGAAGUUCUCCAGCCCCUGGAUCGCUUUGAACCUUUUACUUUUGAUGGUCUUCCUCGCUUUGGUGACUGUUCAUAUCAAAAUGACUGUUGAGGUGAAACCGGUGAAGUUAGAUGAGCUGUUGUCAAAUGCUGCUGACUCUAGAAAUCUCUGUGAAUCCCCGGAUUGUAUAACUCUCUCCCACGAACUGGUUUGUGAUUUCCAAAUUCAACUUAUAGUUCCAAGGCUUCAGCUCAACUACCAAGACCCAUCAGUGGAUCCGUGCGUGGACUUUUUUCAGCAUGCGUGUGGAAGAUUCCAUGAACAGUCUUCAGUUGAGUCAAGAACUCAGAAAAAGCGGUAUAUUCUUCAAAAACAGAUUCGAGGUUUGAAUGCUUCUCCAUCUCUUAUCAUUUUUGAAAUUCAGAGUUUCUACACAACAACAAGACUUCAACUUCAAAAUCCGAAAAUUUGAUGAAACUGGUAUUCGAUAAAUGUGAAGCGUUACAAAAGAGCCAAGUACAGUUUGGCGUACGAUUUCCAAACAUGAAAAAUUUUUCAGAAUACAGGUUAUCUUCAAGAAGUCCAUGAAGUAUUUAAUGAUAUCAAAAAAAUCGGUGCGUGGCCACUAUUGGAUAAGAAUUGGGAUGAAUCUAAAUUUGACUUGAAUGGUGAGGUGUAUUUUGUUACUAAAAUGUUAUUUUUCGUUCAGAAAUGCUGACAAAUCUAGUCAAACUGGGAGCAACCAACUUUGGACUAUUUCAAUUCAAUUUCUUGGGCUUAAUUAUGGGCAAUUUUGUGGAAAUUGCUCCAACUGAAAAGUCAGAUGUUGAAGAGAUUCAAGUGAAUUAGGUGAACCUGAACGAACUUCUGAAGAGGAUUUAAUUAAAAACGUUUUCAGAUGGUGUUGGAUAUUCUCAAAGGAAAUGGAAUUGAACCGGAUAGAGAAGAGAUAUCGAGGGAGUUGGAGGAAUACUCUAUGCUUGAAAAAAAGUUAAAAAUUGUAAGGAACAUAAGUCUGUCAGUUUUAAUUACCUGAACUUAAUUAAGGUAAAGGAGAAUGAAACAAUAUCUUUAAACUUGAUAUUGCCGGAUGUCAGAAGCGUAAACUUUUCGGGUCUUAUAGCGGAGAUGAGUCACCCAAGCAGGGUUAGCAAGCUUUCUGGAAUGAUAACACCAAAGAUUAUCACAAAUAAACAUCCAUUGUUAUUCGAGACUAAUGGAACAGAAAGUGUGAGUCUAGUAGAACUGUUGCAGAAUUCUGAAAAUGUGUAAUUUGUUUCAGCUUGAUGCAAUUAUUGAAUCUACAUCAAAUAGAACAUUGGCUAACUAUCUGAUUUUUAAUUAUAUCCAGUCAUCCCGCGAUAUUUUGACAGAAACUUAUGAAAAUUGUGAACAGGUAUAAACAUUUUUUUUGUAACGCAAUAUCAAAGGCUUUUAAUUCAGGUUGUAAUGGAAGAACUUCCACGUGCAUCACUCCGAGUUUUCAUGCGAAACUUCGUUGACAAGGGUAACCGAGAUGGAGUAAAGAAGCUGACGGAGGAAUUGAAAAAGAAAUGCUCUGGAAAUGAUUCGAGAUACGGAAACUUUUACACCAUCAGUCAAAGAAAGAGUCUUGAAGAAAGUUGAAGCAAUCAAAGUUAUCAUUGGCUAUCCUGAUCAUUUUGAUCCUCCUGGAACAUUGGACAAAGAGUUUGAACACGUAAGUGGUAGCUUUUACAACAACUUCCUUCGUCGUUUAUUGAUCAGCAUAUGUAUUUGUUGUACAUAGAGACUUUCAGAUUGAUUUGGACUCCACCGACUCCUUCUAUAGAAUAUCUCAAAAACUUCAUCGACUCCGUACUGAACAACAAAUGGAGUUCAUCGCUGGAGAGACCCCCAUCAGCCCUGUCGAAAAUGUUCUAGAAGUGAGUGCUCAUUACGAUCCUUCGAAAAACGCUCUAAGUGAGUUAUCUUUCCUUUCACUAGACUAUUCAUUAUUUUGAAGCCUUUCUUGCUCCAUUCCUCGACGAUCCAUUUUUCGAUACCACGUAUCCCGACUAUGCGAAUCUUUUCUUAUCUGGCAGGAUUAUUGCGCAUGAAAUAGGGCAUUCCGUUGAUGGGACUUCACUUUGAUGAAAAUGGGAAACUUGUGGAUUGGAUUAGACGCGAAAAUAUAGAGUAUAAGAUACAGGCUGAAUGUCUGAUAGAUCAAUAUGAUAACUACGCUGAUCCGGUCUACGGCAAAAAGGUGAGAAGAGAAUGGAACGAACUUCCAGGCACAAAGAGUUUUUCAGAUGAAUGGAACACAUACAUUCGGAGAGAUGAUUGCUGAUUGGGUUGGACAUGAAGUAACCUGGCGGGCCUAUAAGAAGAUGGAUACUUCAAAAAUGCAUUCACUUAUUGGCCUCAAGGAUAUCAAUAUGGAUCAGCUUUAUUUCAGAGUUCAGUCACUG
rnacentral:sRNA from 1 species